rnacentral:rRNA from 1 species
UACGUAGGGCGCAAGCGUUGUCCGGAAUUAUUGGGCGUAAAGGGUGCGUAGGCGGUGCGGUAAGUCUGUUGUGAAAUCUCCGGGCUCAACUCGGAGUCUGCAUCAGAAACUGCCGUGCUGGAGUGUGGGAGAGGUGAGUGGAAUUCCCGGUGUAGCGGUGAAAUGCGUAGAGAUCGGGAGGAACACCUGCGGCGAAAGCGGCUCACUGGACCAUAACUGACGCUGAUGCACGAAAGCUAGGGGAGCAAACAGG